rnacentral:lncRNA from 1 species
UACAAUCGAAGUAAUAAACGAACGGUCCUAAACUAAUACAAAAAGGAAUACAAGACCGAACAGUCUUACUCUAAUAGAAAUGCUCCUCUCCAUCCAGUGCAUGCUCCAAAGUAUCUUCAGCACGCUCUGUUCACAACCACAGGAUGAUCAUUGCAAUGACAAGGAUGACCGAAUGGACAACAUGACAAGACAGGAAAUAAGGGUAAGCUAGUGUAAUUUAAUUAACUAUGUUAACAUACAAUUCCUGCAAGCACAUAAUAAAAUUAUACAUACACAUAAACCAUACAAUAUAUUAUAUAACCGACCGUAUUACAUUGAUUGUCCGGACUGUAUGAAUAUAUAGUUAUGGCCGUUUUUGCACUCGUGGAAAGGUAAACUGGAACACAACGCGAAUACCAAAGGCUGGAAAAUCGCAAGCCGUCACACGGGGUUAGCCAUCCCUCAUUGUAGCUGGAAAACCGUAAACUAUACAUGAGUUUAGUCCGCUAGCUGGAACACCAAGCUAACGCGAUCAGGUCUCCUGCUAUUAUCAUCACAUGCGCCACCAUUCUCUACUUGAGACUCAGUGACCAUUGGAAUGCCAGCUUAGCAUAACCACAUUCAUACUUUACCAUUCAAAAACCAUCCAUGAGAUAUUCCGCCUUGGAAUUCUCUUCAAUAUCCAUCCUACAAUUAUCCUUUCGUACUUUAACAUCUCACUAGAAUUAUUACAACAUACUUUUAUACCAUCAUACUUCAUCAUUCAUAACAUCUUUAAGUAAAGUCAUACAAACAGUAAAACCAAUCCCACCUUUGAACAAGACUAAGAAGAAGAGAUUACAAAAUCUUUAUACAAUACCGAACGGAAGAAGAUUCACGCAUGAGCCGAGAACUUGGACCUUAGGCCGAACAUUUCUUGACUUAGGUCGAACUCCAUGAACUUGGCCGAACGCUUAUUGGUUUGGGCCAAACACUAUGAGCUUAAGCCAAACACUACUGGCUUAGGCCGAACGCCAUUAGAACCGAAUACAACCGCAAGACUGAUUACUACGAAGAGAACGAGUGCUAGUACAAAACCGAACACUCUUUAAGAAACCGAGUGCCAGUACAAGGUCGAACACUCUUUAAGAGAUCGAGUGUCAGUACAAGACCAAACACUCUUUAAGAGACCGAGCGCCAGUACAAGACCGAGCACUUCAAAGACCGAGUGCUAGUCCAUGACCGAGCACUUCAAAGAGCGAGUGCUAUUCCAUGACCGAGCACUACUUGAGCUUAUACAAAAUGAACAAAUAAAUUUCGAACACUAAAAUAUUAAACGUACUUACAAUUGGGAGUAUAACUAAUAUUGAAGACUUAAAAUUAUAUAGAAUAUUUGAACUAGGCAAAUCUACUAGAUGAACAAUAGAAUACUAUACAUAAACCGAACGAUUAUUCUCAAUUAUAUACAAUAUAGAUCGAUUGGUCAUUAACUGAUUCUCUACAGGAGAAGAAUCCGGUUAAGACCAAACAUACCAAGGAAAAUCGAACGGUCACAAAGGACUCUUGGCAACAAUUACAUAAUUUUGAAGAAUACUGCAGAGUUACAAUCAAACCAUAUUCCUACCCAGUUCAUGCCAUUUAUCAAUCAUUAACACAUACAAACAGACAUACAGUAUUCCAAUAACAACCAAAUCACCAAACAUAACAUCAUUCAAUCAUGCAACCAUUCAUAAAACAGAAUCAUAAUUAAAUUACAAGCUUCCCUUACCUCUUAACUGGACCAAACAACUCUACCACUUCAGGGAUUUGCUCUCAACAAUGAGAAAUCUUAAGAAUCUACAAUUCACUGAUUUGCGAUCCUAGACCAACCCAAAAUACCACAAGUGUGAUCAGAAUUGGGAAUAAGAAGGUGAUGAACGCAUGCAACCAAGAACUUGGCUUGCAUGUGUCUGGAAACAAAAUUUCUAAGAAGAGAAUGAACUUACCAACUCUAGACUUGAUUUUGAUCAGUGGAAAAAAUGACCAUGCCUCAUAGAUUGCUUAGUCGGUGUUCGUUUGAGGAAAAAGAUGGAAGAGUAAAGAAGAAUUCUAGAGAAAAGGAAGAGAUUUUUAGAGAGAUGGAGGAGAAAAGAAACUUUAGAA